rnacentral:rRNA from 1 species
GCUUACGGCCAUAUCAGCCUGGGUACGCCCGAUCUCGUCUGAUCUCAGAAGCUAAGCAGGGUCGGGCCUGGUUAGUACUUGGAUGGGAGACCGCCUGGGUAUACCAGGUGCUGUAAGCA